rnacentral:rRNA from 1 species
CGGGGCGACGCCCGCUCUCUACCUAUACGACUCUCGGCAACGGAUAUCUCGGCUCUCGCAUCGAUGAAGAACGUAGCGAAAUGCGAUACUUGGUGUGAAUUGCAGAAUCCCGUGAACCAUCGAGUCUUUGAACGCAAGUUGCGCCCGAGGCCUUUCGGUUGA